rnacentral:rRNA from 1 species
AUUGAACGCUGGCGGCAGGCCUAACACAUGCAAGUCGAACGAGUGGCGGACGGGUGAGUAAUGUCUGGGAAACUGCCUGAUGGAGGGGGAUAACUACUGGAAACGGUAGCUAAUACCGCAUACCAUCAGAUGUGCCCAGAUGGGAUUAGCUAGUUGGUGGGGUAACGGCUCACCAAGGCGACGAUCCCUAGCUGGUCUGAGAGGAUGACCAGCCACACUGGAACGGGGAAACGGUGCAGACUCCGACGGGAGGCAGCAGUGGGGAAUAUUGCACAAUGGGCGCAAGCCUGAUGCAGCCAUGCCGCGUGUAUGAAGAAGGCCUUCGGGUUGGAAAGUACUUUCAGCGGAGAGGCGUUACCCGCAGAAGAAGCACCGGCUAACUCCGUGCCAGCAGCCGCGGUAAUUC